CUACGGGAGGCAGCAGUGAGGAAUAUUGCACAAUGGGGGGAACCCUGAUGCAGCAACGCCGCGUGGAGGAUGACGCAUUUCGGUGUGUAAACUCCUUUUAUAUGUCAAGAAAAUGACGGUAGCAUAUGAAUAAGCACCGGCUAACUCCGUGCCAGCAGCCGCGGUAAUACGGAGGGUGCAAGGUUACUCGGAAUCACUGGGCGUAAAGGACGCGUAGGCGGGUUGGAAAGUCAGGUGUGAAAUCCUACAGCUUAACUGUAGAACUGCACUUGAAACUUCUAAUCUAGAGUAUGGGAGGGGGAGAUGGAAUUAGUGGUGUAGGGGUAAAAUCCGUAGAUAUCACUAGGAAUACCUAAAGCGAAGGCGAUCUCCUGGAACAUUACUGACGCUAAGGCGUGAAAGCGUGGGGAGCAAACAGAAUUAGAUACCCGAGUAGUC
rnacentral:rRNA from 1 species